rnacentral:lncRNA from 1 species
GUUGGGAGGACGCCACCAGCCUCCUUGUCCCUGGACAGUAUUGGCUUCAUGUUCCGCAGGGUCGCGACAUGCCAGAUGGGUUUUUUGGAUGAUCAAGGAUGCCUGUCCCAUAAUCCCAUGUCUGACUCAGGAUGAUGUCACGCCUGAGUCUUUGCGGGGAAAGGAUGAUGGACGGCAAGGUGCCAGGGGAAGAAGAGUUUAUUUAAAGUAUAACAGAAAGCCAGGAAAAUGUCCAAAACCAGUCAACCAGUCUACCACGUCGUGCACUGAACACAGGGAAGGGGCGGGAUUCCACUUGACCCUCGGGCUUGCGCUGCUCUCAUCUGGGAAGUCCUCGUUCACAAUAACUCCUACAUGAAAUGUCAGGUGCGAGGACUGUGAUGAACCGGGAGGUCACCCCCUCAGACACGGGGCCAGGUGGUUGGGCCAGGCUCGAUGGAAUUCUUCCACCUAUCCUGGAUGCAACACGUCCCAGGCCGGUACCCAACUCCGUUCCUCCAGGCCGUAGCCCUCCCAGUCCACCAAGUUCUGCAGUACCCCUCCACGCCUCCGAGAAUUGAGGAGCCUCCAAACCCUGUAGGCGGGGACACCUUCCACCUCCACUGCGGCUGGGGGUGUCACGUCGCUUUGUCUGAAUGCAGGUGUCCCCUAGUGACUUGCCUAAGUAGGGAAACAUGGAACACAGGGUGAACGCGAAGAUCUGAGGGGAGUUUCAGUUUAAAUGAUACAGGGUUCACUUGGGACACACGCCGAUAAAUCGCACAAUGAGUUUAGUGCCGGGAAGGUUGAGGUGCAGGUCCCUCGUGGAGAGCCAGUCCCGGUCAUCUUCUCUAAUGACCGGUGCCAACGGUCCGCUUGGACUUUAAAGCGGUGAACCGCUGACCGCAAGGCAGUAUGUGCCCCUUCCCAGACCAGUGGUGCAGUGGUGGCCUAGCGGUUAAGGAAAAGGUCCCGUAAUCUGAAGGUUGCGGGUUCGAAUCCCGAUCUGUCAAGGUGCCACUGAGCAAAGCACCAUCCCCACACACUGCUCCCAGGGCACCUGUCAUGGCUGCCCACUGCUCACUCAGGGUGAUGGGUUAAAUGCAGUGUGCUGUGCUGCUGUGUAUCACAUGUGACAAUCACUUCACUUUACUUUACUUUGACCUGCUCCGCCCUCCGAUCCACACGAGCAACCCCUUACUGCUCCCCUUCUCAGGGACACAGAGGGGGCUGGCACCCAAGCAGGCACUGGAAAGGAGUCAGGCCCGAGGCAGUGUGAUGCAGGGUGUAUUCCAAUCGUGUUGAUUGUACCGGCAGUGCGCCCUUAAAAACCUGCUUAGCUCCUGUACAUCCUCUCUGCCUGUCCGUUGGCCUGUGGA